rnacentral:lncRNA from 1 species
AACUGAAGAGGAGCUUCCUGAAGCUGGCAGAGCUCUUCGAACGACUGAGAAAGCUGGAAGGCAGGAUAGCCUCUGAUGAGGACCUGAAGCUGUCUGACAUGCUGAGGUACUACAUGCGAGACUCACAGGCAGCCAAGGACCUGUUGUACCGGCGGCUUCGGGCACUGGCUGACUAUGAGAAUGCUAACAAGGCACUGGACAAAGCUCGGACUAGGAACCGGGAGGUGCAGCCGGCAGAGAGCCACCAACAGCUGUGCUGCCAGCGCUUCGAGCGCCUCUCUGACUCCGCCAAACGGGAGCUCAUGGACUUCCAGUCUCGCCGGGUCUCCUCUUUCCGGAAGAAUCUCAUCGAGUUGGCAGAGCUGGAGCUCAAGCACGCCCGGGUGAGUGCUCACUGCCCAUGAGCUCUUUUGCUCUCCCCCUCUUUCCCCAAGAUGGGGGGGGGGGGCACGUGUAUGCGUGUACACUCGAGCAGUGGCAAGGGGCAGCAUUGUCCAGCC